CAACACCGCGGCUGUUCCUGCAGCGGCGCCCCAGCGCCUCCUUCCUGUUGCGUGCCCUGCCCGUCCCUUCCCUCGUCUCCGUCCCACGCAUGCGCAAGUGGAGCAGGGGCGCACGGCGCGCGGGAGGACCGCACGGGCAGGCUGGCGCGAGGGCCGCGCGCGGGAGGGUGACACAGGGCCAAGCCACCGCCGGCAUUCCCGGCGUCCGGAGGGGCGGCGACGCGGUGGUCGUGCGCGUGGGGCCACCACAGGCCUCGCAGAGGAGGAAGGCAUGGUCUCGAGGCGAGCGGCGUUGGGGCGACAUCUAAGCGGUGGUCGAUAGGGUCCUACACCUGAUCGGCGCUGGAGCUACCCAUGGACCACCCAACGGCCUUGCAUGUCAGGUGUUCGACCAUAUGCCCCUUAGGAUUCUAUGCUCGGUGGAUCUGACGACGAUAGUAAGCGGAUGGAUUGAGUGCUCGGGAACAAUGAGAACGUGCUGGGCGAUGCCUCGGAUGUGGCAGUCGUCGCCGCAGACCCCAGCGCGGCCUCUGGCCCCGCUGCUUGCCAUCCAGCUGCCCACAUCCAUCCUGAAGCAGUCGAGGUCCCUGGAGCACCUCCCACGCCACCUCCGACGACGAGAGCACCACGGCCGGGGUGGAUUGCCGAGGCGGAUCCAAUUGAUUGUUGUUGACAAGGAUCUGCCGGACGAUGACUUCCACAACUGCAAGCUAGCAUCAUAGUCCUCGCUAGUGGAGUGCAAACAUCUUUUGAUUUUGUAUAGCUGACAUGUUUCUAUGCCACUAUAUAAAUGUUUCUAUGCUCGUCAGAUAGGCAGGGGUGGAUGAGCAUUUGUAAACCUGAGUUAGUUUGGUCGGAUUUUGAAAAAUUGGGGGUUGCUCGGCUAUUGUUUCUA